CGCUAUCUACAGGCUUAACACAUGCAAGUCGAGGGGCAUCAGGAAGAAAGCUUGCUUUCUUUGCUGGCGACCGGCGCACGGGUGAGUAACACGUAUCCAACCUGCCCUUUACUCGGGGAUAGCCUUUCGAAAGAAAGAUUAAUACCCGAUGGCAUAAUGAUUCCGCAUGGUUUCAUUAUUAAAGGAUUCCGGUAAAGGAUGGGGAUGCGUUCCAUUAGGUUGUUGGUGAGGUAACGGCUCACCAAGCCUUCGAUGGAUAGGGGUUCUGAGAGGAAGGUCCCCCACAUUGGAACUGAGACACGGUCCAAACUCCUACGGGAGGCAGCAGUGAGGAAUAUUGGUCAAUGGGCGCUAGCCUGAACCAGCCAAGUAGCGUGAAGGAUGAAGGCUCUAUGGGUCGUAAACUUCUUUUAUAUAAGAAUAAAGUGCAGUAUGUAUACUGUUUUGUAUGUAUUAUAUGAAUAAGGAUCGGCUAACUCCGUGCCAGCAGCCGCGGUAAUACGGAGGAUCCGAGCGUUAUCCGGAUUUAUUGGGUUUAAAGGGAGCGUAGGUGGACUGGUAAGUCAGUUGUGAAAGUUUGCGGCUCAACCGUAAAAUUGCAGUUGAUACUGUCAGUCUUGAGUACAGUAGAGGUGGGCGGAAUUCGUGGUGUAGCGGUGAAAUGCUUAGAUAUCACGAAGAACUCCGAUUGCGAAGGCAGCUCACUGGACUGCAACUGACACUGAUGCUCGAAAGUGUGGGUAUCAAACAGGAUUAGAUACCCUGGUAGUCCACACAGUAAACGAUGAAUACUCGCUGUUUGCGAUAUACAGUAAGCGGCCAAGCGAAAGCAUUAAGUAUUCCACCUGGGGAGUACGCCGGCAACGGUGAAACUCAAAGGAAUUGACGGGGGCCCGCACAAGCGGAGGAACAUGUGGUUUAAUUCGAUGAUACGCGAGGAACCUUACCCGGGCUUAAAUUGCAGUGGAAUGAUGUGGAAACAUGUCAGUGAGCAAUCACCGCUGUGAAGGUGCUGCAUGGUUGUCGUCAGCUCGUGCCGUGAGGUGUCGGCUUAAGUGCCAUAACGAGCGCAACCCUUAUCUUUAGUUACUAACAGGUUAUGCUGAGGACUCUAGAGAGACUGCCGUCGUAAGAUGUGAGGAAGGUGGGGAUGACGUCAAAUCAGCACGGCCCUUACGUCCGGGGCUACACACGUGUUACAAUGGGGGGUACAGAAGGCAGCUAGCGGGUGACCGUAUGCUAAUCCCAAAAGCCUCUCUCAGUUCGGAUCGAAGUCUGCAACCCGACUUCGUGAAGCUGGAUUCGCUAGUAAUCGCGCAUCAGCCACGGCGCGGUGAAUACGUUCCCGGGCCUUGUACACACCGCCCGUCAAGCCAUGGGAGCCGGGGGUACCUGAAGUACGUAACCGCAAGGAUCGUCCUAGGGUAAAACUGGUGACUGG
rnacentral:rRNA from 1 species